rnacentral:rRNA from 1 species
AUACGUAGGUGGCAAGCGUUGUCCGGAUUUACUGGGUGUAAAGGGCGUGUAGGCGGGAUGGUAGGUCAGAUGUGAAAUACCAAGGCUCAACCUUGGGGCUGCAUUUGAAACCACCGUUCUUGAGUGUCGGAGAGGGAAGCGGAAUUCCUAGUGUAGCGGUGAAAUGCGUAGAUAUUAGGAGGAACACCAGUGGCGAAGGCGGCUUUCUGGACGAUAACUGACGCUGAGGCGCGAAAGCGUGGGUAGC